rnacentral:rRNA from 1 species
AAUGAACCGGCGAACUACGUGCCAGCAGGCGGUGGAAGACGUAGGGUGCGAGCGUUAAGCGGAAUGACUGUGCGUAAAGCGUGCGCAGGCGGGUACAUAAGACAGAUGUGAAAGCCCCGGGCUUAACCUGGGAACUGCGUUUGUGACUGUGUGACUAGAGUACGGUAGAGGGGGGUGGAAUUCCUGGUGUAGCAGUGAAAUGCGUAGAUAUCAGGAGGAACAUCGAUGGCGAAGGCAGCCCCCUGGACCUGUACUGACGCUCAUGCACGAAAGCGUGGGGAGCAAACAGGAUUAGAUAC